AUUCAUUCCACAUCUCUGUGACCAGCCAGGACCUUUCCAACCCAACCAUCCCAUAGUCUGUGAUCUGUAAGGACCUUUCCAUCCCAAUUCAUUCAUCCCGCAUCUCUGUGAUCUGUAAGGACCUUUCCAUCCCAAUCCAACAGUCCAAUGCCUUUGUGACCUGUCAGGACCUUUCCAUCCCAUCCCAACCACCCCAUAGCUCUGUGACCUGUCAGGACCUUCCCAACCCAACCCAGCCACCCCAUAGCUCUGUGAUCUGUCAGGACCUUUCCAUCCCUACCCAUUCAUCCCACAUAUUUGUGAUCUGUCAGGACCUUCCCAACCCAAACCAAUCACCCCGUAGCUCUGUGAUCUACGACGUGGUGUCCAAUUACUUCACUCAGGGGAAGCGCUCUCAGCGCUCGGGCCUUCUGCGCGUCUUCGGCCUCCUCCGGGACGCGGUGCUGCCGCGCCGACAGAAGAUCUACUGAGCGCCCCACACUGCGCCCCACACACACGGGGGGGGCUCUGCCCCAUAGCGCCGCGGCUCUGCCCCAUAGAGAUGCGGCUCUGCCCCAUAGCGCCGCGGCUCUGCCCCAUAGAGAUGCGGCUCUGCCCCAUAGAGAUGUGGCUCUGCCCCAUAGCUGUACAGCUCUGCCCAUAGAGAUGCGGCUCUGCCCCAUAGCUGUGAGGCUCUGCCCCAUAGCUGUACAGCUCUGCCCAUAGAGAGGCAGCUCUGCCCCAUAGCGCCGCGGCUCUGCCCCAUAGCGCUGCGGCUCUGCCCCAUAGCGCCACGGCUCUGCCCCAUAGAGAUGUGGCUCUGCCCCAUAGCUGUGAGGCUCUGCCCCAUAGCGCCGCGGCUCUGCCCCAUAGAGAUGUGGCUCUGCCCCAUAGCUGUACAACUCUGCCCAUAGAGAGGCAGCUCUGCCCCAUAACGCCGCGGCUCUGCCCCAUAGCGCUGCGGCUCUGCCCCAUAGCACCGCGGCUCUGCCCCAUAGCUGUGAGGCUCUGCCCCAUAGCGCCGCGGCUCUGCCCCAUAGUGCGGCUGUGCCCCAUAGCGCCGCGGCUCUGCCCCAUAGCUGUACAGCUCUGCCCAUAGCAAUGCGGCUCUGCCCCAUAGAGAUGUGGCUCUGCCCCAUAGCUGUACAGCUCUGCCAAUAGAGAGGCAGCUCUGCCCCAUAGCGCCGCGGCUCUGCCCAUAGAGAUGUGGCUCUGCCCCAUAGAGAUGUGGCUCUGCCCCAUAGCUGUGAGGCUGUGCCCCAUAGCACCACGGCUCUGCCCCAUAGAGAUGUGGCUCUGCCCCAUAGCUGUGCGGCUCUGCCCCAUAGAGAUGUGGCUCUGCCAAUAGGGAUGUGGCUCUGCCCCAUAGCGCCGCGGCUCUGCCCCAUAGCACUGCGGCUCUGCCCCAUAGCGCCGCGGCUCUGCCCAUAGCGCCACGGCUCUGCCCCAUAGAGAUGUGGCUCUGCCCCAUAGCUGUGAGGCUCUGCCCCAUAGCGCCGCGGCUCUGCCCCAUAGAGAUGUGGCUCUGCCCCAUAGCUGUACAACUCUGCACAUAGAGAGGCAGCUCUGCCCCAUAGCGCCGCGGCUCUGCCCCAUAGCGCUGCGGCUCUGCCCCAUAGCGCCACGGCUCUGCCCCAUAGAGAUGUGGCUCUGCCCCAUAGCUGUGAGGCUCUGCCCCAUAGCGCCGCGGCUCUGCCCCAUAGAGAUGUGGCUCUGCCCCAUAGCUGUACAACUCUGCCCAUAGAGAGGCAGCUCUGCCCCAUAACGCCGCGGCUCUGCCCCAUAGCGCUGCGGCUCUGCCCCAUAGCACCGCGGCUCUGCCCCAUAGCUGUGAGGCUCUGCCCCAUAGCGCCGCGGCUCUGCCCCAUAGUGCGGCUGUGCCCCAUAGCGCCGCGGCUCUGCCCCAUAGCUGUACAGCUCUGCCCAUAGCAAUGCGGCUCUGCCCCAUAGAGAUGUGGCUCUGCCCCAUAGCUGUACAGCUCUGCCAAUAGAGAGGCAGCUCUGCCCCAUAGCGCCGCGGCUCUGCCCAUAGAGAUGUGGCUCUGCCCCAUAGAGAUGUGGCUCUGCCCCAUAGCUGUGAGGCUGUGCCCCAUAGCACCACGGCUCUGCCCCAUAGAGAUGUGGCUCUGCCCCAUAGCUGUGCGGCUCUGCCCCAUAGAGAUGUGGCUCUGCCAAUAGGGAUGUGGCUCUGCCCCAUAGCGCCGCGGCUCUGCCCCAUAGCACUGCGGCUCUGCCCCAUAGCGCCGCGGCUCUGCCCAUAGCGCCACGGCUCUGCCCCAUAGAGAUGUGGCUCUGCCCCAUAGCUGUGAGGCUCUGCCCCAUAGCGCCGCGGCUCUGCCCCAUAGAGAUGUGGCUCUGCCCCAUAGCUGUACAACUCUGCACAUAGAGAGGCAGCUCUGCCCCAUAGCUGUGAGGCUCUGCCACAUAGCAGUGCAGCUCUGCCCAUAGAGAUGUGGCUCUGCCCCAUAGAGAUGUGGCUCUGCCCCAUAGCUGUGAGGCUCUGCCCCAUAGCACUGCGGCUCUGCCCAUAGCAGUGUGGCUCUGCCCCAUAGCGAUGCGGCUCUGCCCCACAGCACUGCGGCUCUGCCCCAUAGCACCACGGCUCUGCCCAUAGAGAUGUGGCUCUGCCCCAUAGAGAUGUGGCUCUGCCCCACAGCUGUGCAGCUCUGCCCCCCCUCCCCCCCCCCCGGCCCUGUGAAGGACUGUAAUAUGGGGGGGGGGGGGAAUGGAUGUAGGGGGGGGGGCUGAGGAUGGCCGCCCCACAGCGGCCCCACAGUGCGUCGUGACCCCCCCUUCCCCCCCCCCCCCCCCCCCCCAACGGUGUCGGGCUGAGGUUGACGCAGAACUGUCGGUUAAUUAAAGUUAAUUGUAAUUAGUAAUGAAAGGCAGCGCUCCAUCACAACCCCCCCCCCCCCCCCCCACAACACCACCACUGCUGGGAGCGGUGGGGCGGUCACCAAAGGGCUCCAUGGGGUGGGACCCCCAACUGCCCUCUGAGACCCCCAAGUGCCAUCUGAGACUCCAAAGGGCCCUCUGGGACCCCCAAGUGCCCUCCAGGACCCCCAAAUGCCCUCCAGGACCCCCUGUGUACCCUUUGGGCCCCCCAUUUGCCCCCUUGGACCCACAGGUGCCCACUGAGACCCCCAAGUGCACCCUUGGAGCCCCUAAGUGCCAUCUGAGACCCCCUGUGUACCCUUUGUGACCCCCAAGUGCCCCACGGGACCCCCAAGUGCCCUCCAGGACCCCCAAGUGCCCCCUGGGACCCCCAAAUGCCCUCUGAGACCCCCAAGUGCCCCCAUGGACCCCCAAGUGCCCUCUGAGACCCCCAAGUGCCCCCAUGGACCCCCAAGUGCCCUCUGAGACCCCAAAGUGCCUUCCAGGACCCUCAAGUGCACUCUGGGACCCCCAACUGCCCUCUGAGACCCCCAAGUGCCCCCUGGGACCCCCAAGUGCCCCCUGGGACCCCCAAAUGCCCUCUGGGACCCCCAAGUCCCCUCCGGGACCCCCAAGUGCCCCCUGGGACCCCCAAGUGACCCCUUGGACCCCCAAGUACCCUCUGAGACCCCCAAGUGCCCCCUGGGACCCCCAAAUGCCCUCUGGGACCCCCAAGUGCCCUCUGGGCCCCCCAAGUGCCCCCUGGGACCCCCAAAUGCCCACUGAGACCCCCUAAGUGCCCUCUGAGACCCCCAAGUGCCCUUUGGGACCCCCAAGUGCCCUCUGGGACCCCCCUGUGUACCCUUUGCGACCCCCAAGUGCCCCAUGGGACCCCCAAAUGACCCCUUGGACCCCCAAGUGCCCCUUGGGACCCCCAAGUGCCCCCUGGGACCCCCAAAUGCCCUAUGAGACCCCCAAGUGCCCCCUUGGACCCCCAAGUACCCUCUGAGACCCCCAAGUGCCCUCUGAGACCCCCAAAUGCCCUCCGGGACCCCCAAAUGCCCCCUGGGACCCCCAAGUGACUCCUUGGACCCCCAACUGCCCCCUUGGACCCCCAAGUGCCCUCCAGGCCCCCCUGUGUGCCCUAUGGGACUAUUAGGGCCGUUCCUCCCCCAUCCCCCCCCCAACCCCAUUAAUGGCGGACCCCACUCUGCUGUCCCCGCUGAGUGAGCCGCUAAUUAGGCCGUUAAUGAGGCGGCUCUCAUUAAGCCCGAGCACAUUUGGGGCCGCACAAAGGGCCGGCGGUCCCACAAUGGGGUCAGUGUGGGGCAGGGGGGGUCCUUAAUGAGACGCCGUAAUUAAUGGGGUCUCAUUAUGUGGGGCGGCCCGCAGGGCUGUAUGGGGUCGGUGCGGGGAUGGAGGGUGGUGUGGGGUCAGUGUGGGGUCAGUGUGGGGAUAUAAUGGGGUCACUAUGGGGUCAGUGUGGAGUCAGUGUGGGGUCAGUAUGGGGUCAGUGUGGGGACAGUGUGGGGAUAUAAUGGGGACAGUAUGGGGACAGUGUGGGGACAUUAUGGGGUCAGUAUGGGGUCAGUGUGGGGAUAUAAUGGGGUCACUAUGGGGUCAGUGUAGGGUCAGUAUGGGAUCAGUAUGGGGACAGUGUGGGGAUAUAAUGGGGUCAGUAUGGGGAUAUAAUGGGGUCAGUAUGGGGACAGUGUGGGGUCAGUAUGGGGUCAGUGUAGGGUCAGUAUGGGGUCAGUAUGGGGUCAGUAUGGGGACAGUGUGGGGAUAUAAUGGGGUCACUAUGGGGUCAGUAUGGGGUCAGUGUGGGGUCAGUAUGGGGUCAAUAUGGGGAUAUAAUGGGGACAGUGUGGGAACAGUGUGGGGUCAGUAUGGGGACAGUGUGGGGAUAUAAUGGGGUCAGUGUGGGGACAGUGUGGGGAUAUAAUGGGGUCAGUGUGGGGUCGUUGUGGGGAUAUAAUGGGGUCAGUGUGGGGACAGUGUGGGGAUAUAAUGGGGUCAGUGUGGGGACAGUAUGGGGUCAGUGUGGGGAUAUAAUGGGGUCAGUAUGGGGACAAUGUGGGAUCAGUGUUGGGAUAUAAUGGGGUCAGUGUGGGAACAGU
ensembl:lncRNA